UUGGAGGCUGGGUGCAGUGGCUCACACCUGUAAUCCCAGCACUUUGGGAGGCUGAGGUGUGUGGAUUGAUUGAACUCGGGAGUUUGUGACC